AUAAUCUGCUCCUUAGUGUAGAGUUGCCUCAAAGUGAGAUGACAGUGAAAUAAAAGUGAACUGACAGCAAGGAACAGGCCCCCUUUCCAGACUUUGGCUCGUCAUCUCUAAAGUUUCCUGGUGCUGGCUCUAACUGUUGUAGAUCUUCAC